rnacentral:rRNA from 1 species
GACGAACGCUGGCGGCGUGCCUAAUACAUGCAAGUAGAACGCUGAAGGAGGAGCUUGCUUCUCUGGAUGAGUUGCGAACGGGUGAGUAACGCGUAGGUAACCUGCCUGGUAGCGGGGGAUAACUAUUGGAAACGAUAGCUAAUACCGCAUAACAGUAGAUAUCGCAUGAUAUCUACUUGAAAGGUGCAAUUGCAUCACUACCAGAUGGACCUGCGUUGUAUUAGCUAGUUGGUGAGGUAACGGCUCACCAAGGCGACGAUACAUAGCCGACCUGAGAGGGGGAUCGGCCCACCUGGGAAUGAGACACGGCCCAGACUCCUACGGGAGGCAGCAGUAGGGAAUCUUCGGCAAUGGACGGAAGUCUGACCGAGCAACGCCGCGUGAGUGAAGAAGGUUUUCGGAUCGGAAAGCUCUGUUGUAAGGGAAGAACGAGUGUGAGAGUGGAAAGUUCACACUGUGACGGUAUCUUACCAGAAAGGGACGGCUAACUACGUG